AAUAUUUGAUAUAAAUUAAUGUAAAUGACUAAUGCUUUAUAACUGAAAUAAUGAAGUAAUUUGUAUUUAUCAUAAUGUGAUAUAACUUUUUGCUUUGUUCAAAUCGUGCAUCAUUUUUCAAUAUAAACAUAUUUUUUACAGAUAUAACCAAAGUCACAUUAUUACCUGGAAUCCCAUCCGACGUUGAUAUGGUUGACAGAAGAGACGAUUUCCGUAUCUUUGGACAGGCUUAAGAUGCACUUUAGAAAAUAUGAAUGCAAUAAUUGUAGCCACUGCCGUAUUGCAUACUAUUGCCCUUAAUUUAGGUGAUUUGGAGCCACCAAUAGAUUUUGAAACUCAAAAUCAAUCAGAUUCUCUCUCAGGUAUUUCAACACCUUAUAGUAUUUUGCAAAACAAUUCUGGAGGAUUUAUAAAAAAAGAUAUAAUCAUUAGGGAUUUCUAUAAUUGUAAAAAUUUCACUUGAUUUACACUGAAAUGCAUUUGUUAUAACAAACUCAGUGAAAUGUGUAUGGUGCUAAGAGAACAG
rnacentral:lncRNA from 1 species